rnacentral:sRNA from 12 species
GCUGAUGCUUUAUCAUAGAUUACAGGGAAAGCCUGGGCGGUAGUGGCGCUUAUGAAGCGUUAUUACCGUUUACAUA